rnacentral:pre_miRNA from 1 species
GUGUCCCCUAGAGUUCCCUCAACCCCUUCAGUGGGACUCUCUCUCUCUCUCUCUCUCUCUCUCUCUGAGUUCAAGCUUUCCCUCCUACUGAAGUGUUUGGGGGAACUCCGGGGGCCGC